CUGUCGUCAGCUCGUGUCGUGAGAUGUUGGGUUAAGUCCCGCAACGAGCGCAACCCUCGCCUUUAGUUGCCAUCACGUCUGGGUGGGCACUCUAAAGGAACUGCCGGUGACAAGCCGGAGGAAGGUGGGGAUGACGUCAAGUCCUCAUGGCCCUUAUGUCCUGGGCUACACACGUGCUACAAUGGCGGUGACAGUGGGAAGCCAGGUAGCGAUACCGAGCCGAUCUCAAAAAGCCGUCUCAGUUCGGAUUGCACUCUGCAACUCGAGUGCAUGAAGGUGGAAUCGCUAGUAAUCGCGGAUCAGCAUGCCGCGGUGAAUACGUUCCCGGGCC
rnacentral:rRNA from 1 species